ensembl:lncRNA
UGAAGCACCUUUCCUACGCUAAAGGAGCUAGUAAAGGAAGCACUGAAGCACCUUUCCUACGCUAAAGGAGCUAGUAAAGGAAACGCUGAAGCGCCUUUCCUACGCUAAAGGAGCUAGUAAAGGAAACACUGAAGCACCUUUCCUACGCUAAAGGAGCUAGUAAAGGAAACACUGAAGCACCUUUCCUACGCUAAAGGAGCUAGUAAAGGAAACACAAGCGCCUUUUCUAUGCUAAAGGGGCUAGUAAAGGAAGCACUGAAGCACCUUUCCUACGCUAAAGGAGCUAGUAAAGGAAACGCUGAAGCGCCUUUCCUACGCUAAAGGAGCUAGUAAAGGAAACGCUGAAGCACCUUUCCUACGCUAAAGGAGCUACUAAAGGAAACACUGAAGCACCUUUCCUACGCUAAAGGCGCUAGUAAAGGAAACACUGAAGCGCCUUUCCUACGCUAAAGAAAAGUAGUAUUGUUGUUUCCUGGUCGUCUCCUCGGGUCACACCAUGAACCGGUAGCAGAGCGGCGCUGCAGAAGUAGGGCUGCCGGAUCGAUGCCGGUCGAUGUGCAGGCUAAUUUUAGCGGCAGGGUGUUUUUCAGGGGGGGGUCCGAGUUGUGCCGCUGUUUAAUGGUUGAGGCGAUUUUACGGCCUGCAGCGCUGUUAUAGAGGUCAGCGAGCUGGGGGGGCGACGGGCUCUCCACAGGGACUUUACAAACCACACAAGCACAACAUGAUGGCAAAUUACUAUUAACUGUUUCUUUAAUAUCAGGAUGAAUUGUGAUGAUUUUAAGGUCAUGAGAGGCUUAGUAGGACCCAGGAGGUUCUACAGAGAACCCUCAUAUUCCCAGGGUUUCCUCCAGGACCUGAAUGGGCCACCAUGGAUGUGGUGGAGCUCUG